UACAGAGGGUGCAAGCGUUAAUCGGAAUUACUGGGCGUAAAGCGUGCGUAGACGGUUAUGUAAGUCAGAUGUGAAAUUCCGGGGCUCAACCCCGGAGCUGCAUUUGAAACUGCAUGGCUAGAGUGUAGUUAGGGUAAACGGAAUUCCACGUGUAGCGGUGAAAUGCGUAGAUAUGUGGAAGAACACCGGUGGUGAAGACGGUUUACUGGGCUAUAACUGACGCUGAGGCGCGAAAGCAUGGGGAGCAAACAGG
rnacentral:rRNA from 1 species